rnacentral:rRNA from 1 species
AUAGAAUGUAAUCUUUAUCAGGCCUUUGUGCCUAUAAAACCUAUACAACUUUCAGCAACGGAUCUCUUGGCUCUCGCAUCGAUGAAGAACGCAGCGAAAUGCGAUAAGUAAUGUGAAUUGCAGAAUUCAGUGAAUCAUCGAAUCUUUGAACGCACCUUGCGCUCCUUGGUAUUCCGAGGAGCAUGCCUGUUUGAGUGUCAUUA